rnacentral:rRNA from 1 species
AGACCGAUAGCGAACAAGUACAGUGAUGGAAAGAUGAAAAGAACUUUGAAAAGAGAGUGAAAAAGUACGUGAAAUUGUUGAAAGGGAAGGGCUUGAGAUCAGACUUGGUAUUUUGCAUGCUGCUCUCUCGGGGGCGGCCGCUGCGGUUUACCGGGCCAGCAUCGGUUUGGAGCGGCAGGAUAAUGGCGGAGGAAUGUGGCACGGCUUCUGCUGUGUGUUAUAGCCUCUGACGAUACUGCCAGCCUAGACCGAGGACUGCGGUUUUUACCUAGGAUGUUGGCAUAAUGAUCUUAAGUCGCCCGUCUUGAAACACGGACCAAG